rnacentral:rRNA from 1 species
CGGACGGGUGAGUAAUGUCUGGGAAACUGCCCGAUGGAGGGGGAUAACUACUGGAAACGGUAGCUAAUACCGCAUAACGUCGCAAGACCAAAGAGGGGGACCUUCGGGCCUCUUGCCAUCAGAUGUGCCCAGAUGGGAUUAGCUAGUAGGUGGGGUAACGGCUCACCUAGGCGACGAUCCCUAGCUGGUCUGAGAGGAUGACCAGCCACACUGGAACUGAGACACGGUCCAG